rnacentral:rRNA from 1 species
GAUGAACGCUGGCGGCGUGCCUAAUACAUGCAAGUCGAGCGAACAGACGAGGAGCUUGCUCCUCUGACGUUAGCGGCGGACGGGUGAGUAACACGUGGAUAACCUACCUAUAAGACUGGGAUAACUUCGGGAAACCGGAGCUAAUACCGGAUAAUAUAUUGAACCGCAUGGUUCAAUAGUGAAAGACGGUUUUGCUGUCACUUAUAGAUGGAUCCGCGCCGCAUUAGCUAGUUGGUAAGGUAACGGCUUACCAAGGCAACGAUGCGUAGCCGACCUGAGAGGGUGAUCGGCCACACUGGAACUGAGACACGGUCCAGACUCCUACGGGAGGCAGCAGUAGGGAAUCUUCCGCACUGGGCGAAAGCCUGACGGAGCAACGCCGCGUGAGUGAUGAAGGUCUUCGGAUCGUAAACCUCUGUUAUUAGGGAAGAACAAAUGUGUAAGUAACUAUGCACGUCUUGACGGUACCUAAUCAGAAAGCCACGGCUAACUACGUG